CCUGCCAGCCAGUGGUUAGGUCACUGAGAAGAAUCUUCGCAAAUUAGACGAGCGUUAGGCCUCAGGAAGUUGGUAUGUUCAGAAAUGACAGUCUUAGCCCAGUCCAGGCUGCACCAUAAAAGGAAUUCUGGCAGUUAGAUAAAAGCCUGCAUUCCUCAGGAACUUGUGAAACAGGUUCUCACAGAAAGGUGCUCUCAGCUCCAACACCACACCAUGCCUGCUCUGCUGCUGCGCCUCCUGCCUUCGUCUGCCUUCGUGGUCGUGCGGUCGGUCGUGGACUAAGCCUUUGAAACCAAGCCAGAAGAGAGCUUCAAGAACUAGAGUCACCGAUGUUCGCGAGCCGUCCCAUAUCGAUGCUGGGAACUGGACCCAAGAUCAGUGAGUGCUCUUAACCCCUGCACAAGCAGUCUCUCAAGCCCAGAAACAUCCCAGCUUAGAACUUUUGUUUUGGAUGCCCUGGCUGUAGAAGAAAAGGAUCAAACAAACUCACCAUGGAAUAGAGAGAUUCAAGAGCUGUCAUCACCACUGACAAAUGUACAUUUUUGUGAUAUUGUUUGGGGUGUCUAAGAUUAGAACAGUACUGAGACUAGGCUGCUCUGUUAUUUAUGAAAAAGACUGCCUUUUUCAAGAGGAGCGGAAACUAUCCAUAGGGAAAUUGUGACCUUUUAGACAGAGGAAGACAGGCUCGUAUUUUAAACAUCAGCAUGAGUACCCUUGACCAGGAAAGUUAAAUAACAAAGCCUUGCCUGAGGUGCGCACUGUUUUAGCUAGACCUAGUCUUGCUAUGUUGAUCCUUGUGGCUUGACUAUAAGGCAUGGUGUUUUAUUCAUUUUAACAGCUAUCCCAUGAGUAGGAGUUCUUGUUACCUCCAUGGUAGAAUUGAGAAUGUUUCCUUGAUAAUCUCUUACUGGAGUGUUAAAGAGCCAGGUUUUUUUACAAAAAAAAAAAAAAAAAAAUAGGGGCCAGCAAAAUGAUUCACCGGGCAAAGGAGCUUGAUGCCAAGACUGAAGACCUGAGUCAGAUUCCCCAGAACCCCAUGGAUGAUAUGAGGGGAUAGAUGACUCACAGAGCAGUUCUUUAGCCUCCAUACACUCACGUGACACGCUGUAAUGCCUCCCACAAAUACAAUUAAUAAGAUGCCAUUUAAAAUGUUUUUCUAUUUUGUGUCUGUGGGCGUUGGAUCUGUGGACUUAUCAACCUUUCCUCCCACUCCGUUUUUGUGACAGAGCUACUUCUGGUUUGAUAAGCCACGCUGGACAACCCGUAAGCUUCUGGGGCUUCUCCUCCCUCCCUACUACUUCACCAUAGGAGCACGAGACUGCAGACCUGUGUUCCCAUGCCUGUUUUUGUACGUAUGUGUGUCACAUGUGUGUUCCCACGCUUAUUUUUGUGUGUGGCUUCUGGGGAUUUGAACUCAGAUCCUCACACUUCCCUGGCAAGUGCUUUAUGCCCUGAUCCAGCUCCCUAGCCUUCAGAACGAACCUUUAAACACAGACCUUGUCCAACCAAACAACAGAGCCUAAAUCCAUAUACUUAUUACAUAAAUAACAAAAAGCUCUGAAAAAGAUGCAAAUUGCAAAAUAUAUAUUCACUGGUGCCGGGUCCAUUUUUAGAUGUGGAUUAUGCUUUUCCACUUGUUAGUUAAAUAAGGUAUAAUUCAUUUUUCUGAGCUUGCACUUGCUCAUCUAUAAACUAUUAAUUACAAAAGUAAGGAUGCACACAGAUAUUAUUAAGAUUAAUAAGAAAAAUAAAACCAAUGUGCAGCACUUAUUCCAUUAUUUCAUUCUCCUUUCUUGAAACAUUACUAUACAGCCCUCAGCAGCCUACGGGACUGAAAGCAGGACUAAAGGAGAAUGCCAUGCUAAUAAUCCAGAGGGAAAGAGAGCACACACACUUCGCAGUGCCUCCCCAUUUUCCCCAUGGGCAUGAUGCUAUGUGACAUCCAUAUGACUGUUGUUGCAUUUUUGAAUGAAGUGUAGAGACAGCGGCUCUGAAUCUGGAGGUGGGCCCUGUAGCACAGAGGUAUAUAGAAGAGGGGUGUGCCUAGGGUUUGAUGCUAUUAUAACAACAAUUGUGAAGUCCCUUAACCACAACCUCAGUGUCUAGCAGGAGAGUUUCAGGGUAUGACUUAGUUGAUUUGUAUGGCCCUUUGGUCCUUGGGACUUUUUCUAAGCCAUGGUUUGUUUUUUCAUUAGUUCCUAAGGUUAACCUAACAACUAAGCAGGCCCAUGUGGGUUUUCUUUGAAGAAGGCUAGACAAAAAGAGAAGUCCUAGGUGAUUUCUAGUUCAGUGCAUAUCUAGAAUCGACAGAAAAUGGUUCUUCCUGGAACCUUUUGCAUUAAAGGCCUUGAGGAAAAGACUUCGCUCUUGUCUUUCAUAGUUUCUUUGUCAUGCCAACAAGAACUGUAGCUCAUUACUCAAUUUACUAACAAGGGAUGGUCUCAAGGGAUGGGCUAGCGGCCUUAGUCAGACUUAUGAGAACCAAGGAGAGGUUGCUGAAGUAUAAUGAGUGGGGGAUAAAUUGUUUUCUGCCCAUUUGUGUGUCUUUUUCUAAUCGAAGAAAGAAUUUCACAUGUAAGGAUUGGGGGCAAUCUUAAAAUGGGCUCCCUGAAAGCAGAGUUCACAAAAUGCCUCUUGAAAAUGAGAGAGGGAAAGAGUAAUGAAGAACUGAAUUUGCUUUAUAAGUUAUCUUCACAAACUUCAAGAUAACUUCUCAGGAAUCAUCGUGGAAAUGCAAACUAGAAGCUACAGGAGACAAAGCUUACACUUGUUAGAAUGGCUACCCUCAUAAAAUAAGAAACCGACGAAAGUUCAGAGGGUGAGGAGAAAAGGGAACACUUGUACACCACUGUCAGAAGUGGGACUUGGCCUGACCGUGAUGGAGGUCCCUCAAAACCCUAAAAGCUCUCGGAUGUAGUAAUAGCACUUCUGGGUACACAGUCAAAUGAGCGGGAGUCUUUCCGUGGGAGGCUAGGCGAGUAGCUCAACAGUAAAGCAUGCCCAUGAGUUCGAUUCUCAGUCCCAGAAAAAGUCAUUGCCAAAUUGAAAGAUGUCUGUCUACCUAUGCUUGCAGUGUGAUCCACAAAACAUGCAACCAACCCAAGCAGUCAUUAUAGGUGAGUAGAUGUGUCCCAUAUACACAGUAGAAUCUAUUCAGCCUUCAGAAAUCAUGUCACUUCUGACAGCAGGACUAACCUCAAUGACAUGCGAAGUGAAAUAAACAAGGACAAGGCAGGAAAAUCGAAAUGCUUCGUGAUCUCUCUUACAUAUAUGGUCAAAACAAAGAAAUGAACAAACAGACAGAUAACAGCACCAAAAAAAACAAACACAGCAAACCACCACAACAAAAAAUUACGGAAGCAGAGAGCAAAAUAUUGUUUAACCAGAGCCAGGGAGGUGGUGGCAGGGAGGGCAGAGACACAGGCUGACGGAAACGCAGGUCAGUUGCACAAGUGAAUGUGUUUUUGACAUGAUUAUACAACAUGGGGUUACAAUCAAUAAUAAUGUAUUAUAUAGUGGAAGUCUGCUGAGAGUGGACUUUAUUUGUUCUCCACACAGAAAGGAAAGAUGAUUGACAUUCUAAUUAGCUUGUUUUAAUUCUUCGAUAACAUGCAUCUAUAGCAUAUACAGAGAGAGUUUUCCUGACUAUGUCAUGACAUAGGUAUUCUCUAAGUUUGACAAGUGCAUAAAAUCUUCUAGAACCUUCCUAAUAUUGCAACACUUUAAUACAGUUCCUAAUGCUGUGGUGAUCGCCAACCAUAAAAUUAUUUUGUUGCUACUUCGUAACUGUAAUGAAUCAUACUGUAAAUAAUUUGGAAACAAAAUUUUGUCAAAGGGGUCACAUUAUUUGCAGUUUUACAUUAUUAGCCCCAAGAAAUAAAAAUUUAUGUUAUUUAUAAAUGCUUAUGGCUUGGACGUCAUUGAGACAUCUAGUUUCUGUUCACAUUUAAUGGGUGAAUCGAUGACGUAGUUCCCUCCACAGUCGUGCAUCCUGAACAAUCUUAAACCUCUCUUGUGAAAGAGAUAAACUUGCAUGUGGUAAUCCCAGGCUUCUUGUACUUCCUCUUUGGUUUUGUGUGACUGCAAUGCAAUGGUGUGCACAACUUGGUGAACACAGAGCUAAAACAACCCAACCAAGACAGAAGAGUAGUGAAAGAGUUAUCAUCUAAUCAACACGGAGAGCACAGAGUCCUUGCCAAAGCCAUGUUCUUCUCCAGGGCAAUGCGGAAGCUCUCCUCAGGGAGCAUAUGCAUCUAUAUCACAGUUGCUCUCUUCUGGUGUGUGCUGAGAUUAAAGUUAUGCAAAGAAAUAGAUAGGCAAGAGUGCUUCUGGGCAUGUUCAGUAUGCUCCAUAAAGUUUUGGUGAAAACUAAGGAAAAGGUACUUUGAAGGUAUGUUACCAUGGAAGUCUACCCUGCUGCAGAUGCCUGAUCGGUUCAGCAGCAUCACAAUGGUUGUAAUGGACUGAGUGCUGUGCAAAAUCACAGUGUGCUUUGCAAUUUGCAUGCACCUGCACUGAAAGGGCAGUCAUUUAUGAAUCGCUGUUGCCAAAGUAUGCAGGAAUGUGGAAAAUAUAGCACUUAUAUGCGUAAUUUUCUUUCUAUCUAAUCUUUCUCUUUUCUAUUCAAAUGAAUAAGAUAUAAUCUGCAGUAGGGCUGCAUAAACAUUUUAUAAAAAUCAGCAUGUUUGACUCUUGUUUCUUCCCUGCCACCCAUAUAGUGCUAAGGAAAUAUGUAACAUUGGAUUUCCUCUCAGGUAUCUGUGUGUGUGUUUAACUUAAUUUUAUUGUCCUGGCCUAUUGCUCUAUUGAAAUGGCAUCUCACGAUGUUGUCAAAGCUGAUCUCACACUCUAAGGACUGAGUAAUGCUCCCACUUCUGAUUUUUGAGUGGCUGGAAUGGUAGACAUGGGCAAUGCAUCUGCCCUUGUUAUGUUUUAGUCACAGGGCAUGGUAAGAGCUAUAAUCAACUGGUGUGGGUUAGCUAUCUGCCCUUGGCUACCAGCAUUGCCUGAGACCUUGAUGAGCUGUUCUGACCAAGGUUCUCAAGUUGAUAGCUAGUGACACAGAGUUUGAAGGUGUCAUUUGCUAUCCCUGAAACUGUGGUGAGUUAUGGUCAGCACUUUUUUCUAUCACUCAGAGAUCUUGGUGAUGUGGCUGACAAGUUCAAACUGGCACUCUACCCUCUUUACAACAUCUUGAGCAACAGGACUCAGAGAAGCCAGUGCUGAGAAGAAAUCUGGUGGGUCUCAUACUCACAGGCCAAGGUUAAUUGCACAAGGAAGGCUUGGGUUGAUGGUACUGCAGUUGUAUCAAUAAUGUCUCUGUAAUGAAAAUUUCAUGUUACAUUUGCCAACAGAAGAGGUGACAGCCUCAGUUUGCCUAUCUUGAAGUAGAAAUUCUAGAUAUUUAUAAAAGGUCUGAAUAUUUGUGUCACUUUGCCUAAUGAAUAAGAUUAUUGAAGGUUUGGAAUUCUGACCUUAAAAAGUAAUAGUUGUAAAAGGAAGCUUAAGUUUCUUAUUCAUCAAAUCGAGAUUUUAAAUUUUGGAGUUGAGCACAAAGCAGAUUUAUCUCUGGUUUUUGUGUUAGUAUAAAGGUAACAUCAGCAAUAUUACAAAUAUUAUAUUAUAAAUAUUAUAAAUAUAUCCAAACCACUCACAUUUAGCAGUAUGUUUUAUACAUUUAUACUAUUCUGUCUGUAUCAUGAUUUGGAAAAUAUUUGAAAGCAAUACUUUAAAGGUGUAAUUUUCAACCAGCAGCUAUCUGUAUUUGGCAGAUAAAAUGUGCAACUUUCAGUAAUACUGAAAACUAGAAGAACAUGAGUAAAAUUCUGCAUUUUAGAUCUCUUGAGUAAGCAUUAAUGAUCCUCCCAUUUCCACCCCCCACAAGAGUUUCAGAAAAUUGUACAUUCUAAGACCUUGGUAAGUAUGUCUUGUUUCAUUGAUGGUUGAAGAACAGUUGGAUAGAUACCUACAACCACACUGGUAAAGAUGUCCAGGCAUCCUUCGCCAUCGUCAGCCAAAGUAUAUUUGAAGUCUUAUUUUUCCCCAUAUGGUUCCCAUACGCUUGCCCCAUUUGUGAAACAAAGAAAGGUUUAAAAAUACAUUGAACUUAUAGAAAAGCAAGGAAGAAAGAUUCUGUAGAACACUGGGCAGGGAAAAUUGACAGGUCUUACAAGAAGACAUGGAUAUGUUUCUUUCUUACAUAAAAAGGGAAACAAGCAAGGCAAAUGUUAGCGAUUUUUACAGAGACGCAUUGGGAAAUCACACUAGCAACCCGGAUGGCUGGAAAGGCUGCAUGCAGCCUUCCACUCUUCUCUGGGAGGAAAAUAAUUGUUGUGUAAGGGAACUUGUCGAUGCCUCACAAAGACAAAGCCCUUUAUGUAUAUACACUUUAAAUAGGCAAUUUCGUAACUCAGCAUUAUGACAUUACACUGCCAAAGAUACAAGAAAAACACAUGUUCAAAGCGUUUAUCCUUCAGAGUCAUUCUUCCAGAGGAAAACUAGAAAUGCCUUAGGGUUGCAUCACAAGUGACUGUGCCAAGAACACAAUGCAAUUAUUAUAGAAAUGAAAGAUAGGAUGAGUGAUAUUUAUAGCCCAUGGUAUGAUCUAUAAAAACUUAUGUGCAAAACUCAAAGUUGACUAAUAUGCGAUAUAAUGCUACUGUUUAUUGAAAAAAGAAUAUAUAACCAUCAAGGCAUACCUAAUAUUUUAAAGAAGAGAAUGGAAGAAUAAAUCUAAGUUAUUUACUUUGAGUAAUUUUCAAUAAAUGGGCUGGGAAACAUGGAUUAUAAGGGGCAGAUAGACUUCCUUGAUUAUGUCAUUUACUUGUGAAUUUGCUUUUAGAACAAUGUAUGUAUUCAACAUAAUUACAAAAUAAAAUGUAAAUGAACAUAAUUUUAUAUUAAACAUAAUUUCUUAAAAUGUACCAAUUGGUGGUAUAACAAUAUCAACUUCAAUUUAUUGAAAGAGUUAAAACACAGUAGUUAAUAUAGUUGUAGAAGGCAGAGAGAGACAAAUGUCUUGGUUUGUUUACAGAAAUUACACAUAAUUGUGUUCUGUGAGACAAGUGGACUAAACUAGAAGAAUAAUUAUAUGAUGUUUACAUUUUAGUCUCCUCAGUGUCUUGGAAAAGAAGAAUUCUUGGUGCUGGAGAAAAGCAAAAACUCCAGUAACCGUAAGGUAGUUGAGUACUUGUCAAAACACGGUUCUGAAUUUGUACUGGACGUGUGGGAAUUAACUUAUGUUUUGUAUCUGUAUUCACUGAAAAUGCCUAGAAAUAAUCAGUAGUAGAAUAGUACCUCACAGUCUGGAUUAUGAGUCUUAGAUAAUACCUCUCGGUGAAAGGAAUGUGUCUUAGAAGGACAGAAAGGUCUUAGGUGAGCAAUGUUCAAGAUGAGCUUGGAACUUGUAACCCAAAAGGUGGCAAUGAACCCUCGAGGAACAGAAUUAGGUCACAGGAUGGAGCAUCCUC
rnacentral:sRNA from 1 species